rnacentral:rRNA from 1 species
UAGGGAAUCUUCGUNCAAUGGACGGAAGUCUGACCGAGCAACGCCGCGUGAGUGAAGAAGGUUUUCGGAUCGUAAAGUUCUGUUGUAAGAGAAGAACGAGUGUGAGAGUGGAAAGUUCACACUGUGACGGUAUCUUACCAGAAAGGGACGGCUAACUACGUGCCAGCAGCCGCGGUAAUACGUAGGUCCCGAGCGUUGUCCGGAUUUAUUGGGCGUAAAGCGAGCGCAGGCGGUUAGAUAAGUCUGAAGUUAAAGGCUGUGGCUUAACCAUAGUAGGCUUUGGAAACUGUUUAACUUGAGUGCAAGAGGGGAGAGUGGAAUUCCAUGUGUAGCGGUGAAAUGCGUAGAUAUAUGGAGGAACACCGGUGGCGAAAGCGGCUCUCUGGCUUGUAACUGACGCUGAGGCUCGAAAGCGUGGGGAGCAAACAGGAUUAGAUACCCUGGUAGUCCACGCUGUAAACGAUGAGUGCUAGGUGUUAGACCCUUUCCGGGGUUUAGUGCCGUAGCUAACGCAUUAAGCACUCCGCCUGGGGAGUACGACCGCAAGGUUG